rnacentral:rRNA from 1 species
UACGUAGGGUGCGAGCGUUAAUCGGAAUUACUGGGCGUAAAGCGUGCGCAGGCGGUUUUGUAAGCCAGGUGUGAAAUCCCCGGGCUCAACCUGGGAAUGGCAUUUGGGACUGCAAGGCUGGAGUGUGGCAGAGGGGGGUGGAAUUCCGCGUGUAGCAGUGAAAUGCGUAGAGAUGCGGAGGAACACCGAUGGCGAAGGCAGCCCCCUGGGCUAACACUGACGCUCAGGCACGAAAGCGUGGGGAGCAAACAGG